rnacentral:rRNA from 1 species
UACGUAGGGACCAAGCGUUGUCCGGAAUCAUUGGGCGUAAAGAGCGUGUAGGCGGCUUGUUAAGUCUUGCGUGAAAUCUCGGGGCUCAACCCCGAGCGGUCGUGAGAAACUGGCAGGCUAGAGUGCGGGAGAGGAGAGUGGAAUUCCCGGUGUAGCGGUGAAAUGCGCAGAUAUCGGGAGGAACACCGGUGGCGAAGGCGGUUCUCUGGGCCUUACCUGACGCUGAGGAGCGAAAGCGUGGGGAGCGAACAGG